GGAGGGAUAGCUCAGUGGUAGAGCAUGUGCUUAGCAUGCACGAGGUCCUGAGUUCAAUCCCCAGUACUUCCA
rnacentral:tRNA from 1 species